GAGCCCUAGGCUCCGUACGUCCUCCCUACACUGUGUUCGCAGUGCUGUCACCUAUGAAAGGUAUUUGGCUGUGUACCAGACGCUUCCGGGUAGUGUUUUGUUGACCUACCGAAGGUAUUUACAAGCACUCUACACCGUAGAUGAUUGCACUGUAUGGUCCUUUUGUAAAUGCCUUCACGCACAUUCACAGCAUUGUCUUUAACGUAGGUCUUGACUGAAAAGACGCCGUGUACGCGCAGGUUGCACUGUCUAUUGGGAGAUGCGUUAAGGUAACAUUGGCUGUAUAGCUCAGUAAGGUUUGCCAUGUAAUAUAUGUGUGUGUGUGUGUGUGCGCAUGUGUACAUAUCUAUGUUUAUAUGCCAGUUUACAGUAACUGGAUCUACUAUAAGGUGUCAUGUUUCGCUGUAAGUCCUUGUGAUUUAACUAGCCAAUAACCUUUUAUUAUGUUUUAUGUGAGCUAUGCUUGUGUGUGAUUUUAUGUAGGUUUGCGUACUGGAGAGAUACCAGGGAGUCCCAUUUCCAUUCAUGUUGAGUGGUGUAUUCCUAGAGGUAAAAGGAAACCUUGUUGUAUUGUAUCUGUAUUGGUUUAGGCUGUAUUUACCAUAAACAAUGGAUUUUAACUGUGUUUGUUUACUCCUGUAGAAAGAUUGCCACUGCUGCUUUGCCUCCUGUAGAUUUAAGUAAUUGUAGCUCUUGCCUCAUUUUGUUUUCUUUAUUUUGUUUUGUUUGUCCGAUUGAUUUGGCCUAAACAUAGGCGUGGCUGGUUUCAUUUAUCUGCCCUCUGUCGUGGUGUGUCGGCAACAGGUGUGGUAGUGGCUGCCCCAGUAUUUUGCUGUGGUAAUGUGUGAUGGUAGUAAUGCUAACAUCUAGCUUUCUUGACCCAGCCAGUUAUUGCCAAUAGCAACCAUAUCUUCCCUUCUCCCCUCUAGAGAAACAGAGUGUUGCAGCUGUUCCGCGGGGCAGGUCGCCGGAUCUGAGUCCUCCUCUUCGUGUACUUCACACAGUAUUUGUAGUGGUAACGUGCACCUCACUAUUUGCAGUGAUCACUCUUUGUAGUACCUGUGCCUAUGCGAGCGUGUGUGUGUGUGUCUGUGAAUAGGCAACAGAAUCUGCAGCACGGGUGGUGUGUCGGUCUCACUCCUCUUCCAGGACAGGUAACCUCUCCUGAACAGCUGAUCAAAUUAACCCUACUUGAUUACAUGUAAUAUUCCUGGUGGCAGCCACUACCUUCCUCUUGCUGGCCUAUUGGGCCUAAUAUGUACUGCACUCCAUCCUGAGAAUCAAACCCAAGACUGACUUUUUACUGAAUUGCUUGUGAAUAAAUAUUGUUUAUUUUUUCAUUGAAA